rnacentral:rRNA from 1 species
UACGAAGGGGCUAGCGUUGUUCGGAAUUACUGGGCGUAAAGCGUGCGCAGGCGGCUUCUCAAGUCAGGGGUGAAAGCCCAGAGCUCAACUCUGGAAUUGCCUUUGAGACUGAGUGGCUUGAGUACGAGAGAGGUGAGUGGAAUUCCCAGUGUAGAGGUGAAAUUCGUAGAUAUUGGGAAGAACACCGGUGGCGAAGGGCGGCUCACUGGCUCGUAACUGACGCUC